rnacentral:rRNA from 1 species
UACGGAGGAUCCAAGCGUUGUCCGGAUUUAUUGGGUUUAAAGGGUGCGUAGGCGGGUUAUUAAGUCAGUGGUGAAAGCCGGCAGCUCAACUGUCGAACUGCCAUUGAAACUGAUAGUCUAGAAUGUAGUAGAGGUAGGCGGAAUGUAUCAUGUAGCGGUGAAAUGUGUAGAGAUCGGGAGGAACACCGGUGGCGAAGGCGGCCUUCUGGACGGUGACUGACGCUGAGGCGCGAAAGCGUGGGGAGCAAACGGG